rnacentral:sRNA from 1 species
GAUAGCACACACCUGUAGUUCCAGCUACCCAGGAGUCUGAAGCAGGAGGAUUGCUUGAGCUCAGGAAUUCAAGACCAGCCUGGGCGACAGAGUGAGAUCCUGUCUCAA